rnacentral:lncRNA from 1 species
UGAAAAUGCAAUUAUAUCAUACAUGUGUCCACACACAUAUAUAUGAUUUUUCUGAGCAGUCUAGUCUACAAGGUAUCCUAAAACUGAUGUCGUCAAUUCUACUUAAUUUAAAUUAAUCGAGGAUUUUUAUUUUUGACCUCUGUGUGCCUUCUUCAUCUGCAAAGUGGGUUUCACAAUGGUUCCUACAUCAUAGGAUUGUUUGUGAGAAUUAAAUAUGUCAUAUAUAAAAACUACAUCGAAUAGUGGCUGGUCUGUAGAAAGCUCCAUAUCUUGGCUACUACUAUUAUGACCUCCACCUUCAUCCUUGCUGGUAGCCAUGCUUUCCAGGUGAUGAAGGGGGUGGGGGUGGGGGUUCCCAUGGGGGCGUAGCAUGGUGAGAUACUUCUCGUCCCCAGUUUUCAUCACAACGGAUGGCAGUACCCUUGCUGAGAAGUCCUGUUCCUCUAAGGUUUCCACUCAGGAACUCUGUGUUCUGAGAAAGAAAAUUGACUUCUCAUUGAGGUGGGUUUGUCCCUGUCUGCAGUCUCAAAAAAAAAAAAAAAUUGGGGACAUGGUUUUUCCAUACAAGGUCUAUUUCACAAGAGGAGUGACUUCCUCAUCAGGCAAUGAAUCCCAUGGGCAUUCUGGCUGACAUUUCCUCCCCGGCCUCCACGGUUAAGCCCAAAUAGUGGCUUCCCUCAGUGAGCAACCCCCUUGCCAGUCACUUUAAAGGGGAAUUUCCUCCUUCCAGUGCCAGCCUCGGCCACUCCCGUCCCCCUUUGGCCUCCUCAGAGGACAGUGAUCAUGACACAGGCUGAAGUUGUCCUUCAUGAAUCAGCUCAGGAGUGAAGAGCUGGCUCUGCUGAUAGCGAGGGUGCUUUGUACACUUUGCUUAAGCCUCAGACACUUUUGAAAGUGAAAGGGGACACCGGCUCUAAUUGCACCAGGACAGUAGGUCUGAGCUGGAUUAGUGUCUCUCCCUUCCAGUAAACCAAGCCUCUAGGGCACUCAGAGUUCACGAGGCCGCCAGUCUCCCCAGCAGGGUUCUCGCCCCCUCCACUCCCUCCACGUGGGGACAGGUUAGUCUUUGCCUCCAGUAUUCAGGUCAAGGAAACGAUGGUCGAGCUUCGAGCUUCGGCGGCAUAGGGUCAGGGGUCCCUCUCUGAUUUGUUGAGUCUCCUUCCUAAGCCUGUGUGGUCUUUGUGUCUUUGUUGUUUGUAGCUAUGGUUUCUGAGUGUGAGCUAAGAACAAAAUGCCAUUUUUGCUUUUCCUAAAGGCAAAGAAAAAGAGAAGUGCCUCCUUCGGACAAAUAAAUCCUUAGCAGGUGUCCCA